AUGAACGCUGGCGGCGUGCCUAAUACAUGCAAGUCGAGCGAACAGACGAGGAGCUUGCUCCUCUGACGUUAGCGGCGGACGGGUGAGUAACACGUGGAUAACCUACCUAUAAGACUGGGAUAACUUCGGGAAACCGGAGCUAAUACCGGAUAAUAUAUUGAACCGCAUGGUUCAAUAGUGAAAGACGGUUUUGCUGUCACUUAUAGAUGGAUCCGCGCCGCAUUAGCUAGUUGGUAAGGUAACGGCUUACCAAGGCAACGAUGCGUAGCCGACCUGAGAGGGUGAUCGGCCACACUGGAACUGAGACACGGUCCAGACUCCUACGGGAGGCAGCAGUAGGGAAUCUUCCGCAAUGGGCGAAAGCCUGACGGAGCAACGCCGCGUGAGUGAUGAAGGUCUUCGGAUCGUAAAACUCUGUUAUUAGGGAAGAACAAAUGUGUAAGUAACGAUGCACGUCUUGACGGUACCGAAUCAGAAAGCCACGGCUAACUACGU
rnacentral:rRNA from 1 species